rnacentral:rRNA from 1 species
GACGAACGCUGGCGGCGUGCUUAACACAUGCAAGUCGAACGGAAAGGCCCUGCUUUUGUGGGGUGCUCGAGUGGCGAACGGGUGAGUAACACGUGAGUAACCUGCCCUUGACUUUGGGAUAACUUCAGGAAACUGGGGCUAAUACCGGAUAGGAGCUCCUGCUGCAUGGUGGGGGUUGGAAAGUUUCGGCGGUUGGGGAUGGACUCGCGGCUUAUCAGCUUGUUGGUGGGGUAGUGGCUUACCAAGGCUUUGACGGGUAGCCGGCCUGAGAGGGUGACCGGCCACAUUGGGACUGAGAUACGGCCCAGACUCCUACGGGAGGCAGCAGUGGGGAAUAUUGCACAAUGGGCGGAAGCCUGAUGCAGCAACGCCGCGUGCGGGAUGACGGCCUUCGGGUUGUAAACCGCUUUCGCCUGUGACGAAGCGUGAGUGACGGUAAUGGGUAAAGAAGCACCGGCUAACUACGUGCCAGCAGCCGCGGUGAUACGUAGGGUGCGAGCGUUGUCCGGAUUUAUUGGGCGUAAAGGGCUCGUAGGUGGUUGAUCGCGUCGGAAGUGUAAUCUUGGGGCUUAACCCUGAGCGUGCUUUCGAUACGGGUUGACUUGAGGAAGGUAGGGGAGAAUGGAAUUCCUGGUGGAGCGGUGGAAUGCGCAGAUAUCAGGAGGAACACCAGUGGCGAAGGCGGUUCUCUGGGCCUUUCCUGACGCUGAGGAGCGAAAGCGUGGGGAGCGAACAGGCUUAGAUACCCUGGUAGUCCACGCUGUAAACGGUGGGUACUAGGUGUGGGGUCCAUUCCACGGGUUCCGUGCCGUAGCUAACGCUUUAAGUACCCCGCCUGGGGAGUACGGCCGCAAGGCUAAAACUCAAAGGAAUUGACGGGGCCCCGCACAAGCGGCGGAGCAUGCGGAUUAAUUCGAUGCAACGCGUAGAACCUUACCUGGGUUUGACAUGGAUCGGGAGUGCUCAGAGAUGGGUGUGCCUCUUUUGGGGUCGGUUCACAGGUGGUGCAUGGCUGUCGUCAGCUCGUGUCGUGAGAUGUUGGGUUAAGUCCCGCAACGAGCGCAACCCUUGUUCACUGUUGCCAGCACGUUAUGGUGGGGACUCAGUGGAGACCGCCGGGGUCAACUCGGAGGAAGGUGGGGAUGACGUCAAGUCAUCAUGCCCCUUAUGUCCAGGGCUUCACGCAUGCUACAAUGGCUGGUACAGAGAGUGGCGAGCCUGUGAGGGUGAGCGAAUCUCGGAAAGUCGGUCUCAGUUCGGAUUGGGGUCUGCAACUCGACCUCAUGAAGUCGGAGUCGCUAGUAAUCGCAGAUCAGCAACGCUGCGGGAAUACGUUCCCGGGGCU